AGUGAACGCUGGCGGCAUGCCUUACACAUGCAAGUCGAACGGCAGCACGGGUGCUUGCACCUGGUGGCGAGUGGCGAACGGGUGAGUAAUACAUCGGCACGUACCUUAUCGUGGGGGAUAACGCAGCGAAAGCUGUGCUAAUACCGCAUACGCCCUGAGGGGGAAAGCGGGGGAUCGCAAGACCUCGCGCGAUUAGAGCGGCCGAUGCCUGAUUAGCUUGUUGGUGGGGUAAAAGCCCACCAAGGCGACGAUCAGUAGCUGGUCUGAGAGGACGAUCAGCCACACUGGGACUGAGACACGGCCCAGACUCCUACGGGAGGCAGCAGUGGGGAAUUUUGGACGAUGGGGGCAACCCUGAUCCAGCAAUGCCGCGUGAGUGAAGAAGGCCUUCGGGUUGUAAAGCUCUUUUGUCAGGGAAGAAACACCGGCUCUAACACAGUCCGGGAAUGACGGUACCUGAAGAAUAAGCACCGGCUAACUACGUGCCAGCCGCCGCAGUAA
rnacentral:rRNA from 1 species